rnacentral:rRNA from 1 species
AGUGAACGCUGGCGGUAGGCCUAACACAUGCAAGUCGAACGGCAGCACAGUAAGAGCUUGCUCUUACGGGUGGCGAGUGGCGGACGGGUGAGGAAUACAUCGGAAUCUACUUUUUCGUGGGGGAUAACGUAGGGAAACUUACGCUAAUACCGCAUACGACCUACGGGUGAAAGCAUGGGAUCUUCGGACCUUGCGCGAUUGAAUGAGCCGAUGUCGGAUUAGCUAGUUGGCGGGGUAAAGGCCCACCAAGGCGACGAUCCGUAGCUGGUCUGAGAGGAUGAUCAGCCACACUGGAACUGAGACACGGUCCAGACUCCUACGGGAGGCAGCAGUGGGGAAUAUUGGACAAUGGGCGAAAGCCUGAUCCAGCCAUACCGCGUGGGUGAAGAAGGCCUUCGGGUUGUAAAGCCCUUUUGUUGGGAAAGAAAAGCAGCAGGUUAAUACCCCGCUGUUCUGACGUUACCAAAAGAAUAAGCACCGGCUAACUUCGUG